rnacentral:rRNA from 1 species
GUUGUCCAGAAAAUGAAUAUUAGUUCAGCUUUAAAAAAUACCAAAAAUAUGAACAAAUUAUAAUGUAUUUUUAAAAGUUAGUCUAAAAAGGUACAGCCUUUUAGAAAUGGAUACAACCUUAACUAGAGAGUAAACCCUAACAUCAAACCAUAGUGGGCCUAAAAGCAGCCACCAAUUAAGAAAGCGUUAAAGCUCAACAAUAAAAUAAUACUAAUUCCAAUAAUAAACAGUCAACUCCUAGUCUAAUACUGGACUAAUCUAUUAAAAAUAGAAGCAAUAAUGUUAACAUGAGUAACAAGAAAUAACUUCUCCCCGCAUAAGUUUAAGUCAGUAUCUGAUAAUAUUCUGACUAUUAACAGCAAAAUAAGAAUAACCUAACUAUAAAUAACUUAUUAAUUAUACUGUUAAUCCGACACAGGGAUGCACUUAGGGAAAGAUUAAAAGAAGUAAAAGGAACUCGGCAAACACUAAACCCCGCCUGUUUACCAAAAACAUCACCUCCAGCAUAACUAGUAUUGGAGGCACUGCCUGCCCAGUGACGACCGUUAAACGGCCGCGGUAUCCUG